GAUGAACGCUAGCGGCAGGCUUAAUACAUGCAAGUCGAGGGGCAGCGGGUGUAGCAAUACAUGCCGGCGACCGGCGCACGGGUGCGUAACACGUAUGCAACCUACCUAUAACUUGGGAAUAGCCCCGAGAAAUCGGGAUUAAUACCCAAUAACAUUACGAGAGGACAUCCUCUUGUUCUUAAAGAUUUAUCGGUUAUAGAUGGGCAUGCGUACCAUUAGCUAGUUGGUGAGGUAACGGCUCACCAAGGCAACGAUGGUUAGGGGUCCUGAGAGGGUUAUCCCCCACACUGGUACUGAGACACGGACCAGACUCCUACGGGAGGCAGCAGUAAGGAAUAUUGGUCAAUGGGCGCAAGCCUGAACCAGCCAUGCCGCGUGAAGGAUGACGGCCCUACGGGUUGUAAACUUCUUUUGUCAGGGAAAAAACCCCCGAACGUGUUCGGGGUUGAUGGUACCUGAAGAAUAAGCAUCGGCUAACUCCGUGCCAGCCGCCCGCGGUAACAC
rnacentral:rRNA from 1 species